GUUUUCAAUUCCUUUGGAUAAAUACUAAGGAGUGUGAUUGGUGAAUCUUAUGGUAAAAGUAUGGUUACUUUUGUAAGAAACCACCAAACUGUCUUCCAAAGUGAUUGCACAUUUUGCAUUCUCACCAGUAAUGAACAAGUUACUAUUGCUACAUAUCUUUGCAACCUUUGGUGCUGACAGUGUUCUAAAUUUUGGUCAUUCUACUAGGUAUGCAGUGGUAUCUACUUGUUUUAAUUUGCAGUUCCC
rnacentral:lncRNA from 1 species